rnacentral:rRNA from 1 species
AUACGGAAGGUCCGGGCGUUAUCCGGAUUUAUUGGGUUUAAAGGGAGCGCAGGCGGAGAUGCAAGCGUGACGUCAAAUUUCGGGGCUCAACCCCGUCUCGCGUCGCGAACUGCGUCCCUUGGUUGCGGGAAGGGGAGGCGGAACUCGUGGUGUAGCGGUGAAAUGCAUAGAUAUCACGAAGAACUCCGAUCGCGAAGGCAGCCUUCCGGCCCGUCAACGACGCUCAUGCUCGAAGGGGCGGGUAUCAAACAGGAUUAGAUACCCUGGUAGUCCGCACAGUAAACGAUGGACACCCGCGGUUUGGCCUAUAUGGCUGAGCCGCCAAGCGAAAGCGUUAAGUGUCCCACCUGGGGAGUACGCCGGCAACGGUGAAACUCAAAUGAAUUGGCGGGG